UUCAUGGAGAGUUUGAUCCUGGCUCAGGACGAACGCUGGCGGCGUGCCUAAUACAUGCAAGUCGAGCGGACCGACGGGAGCUUGCUCCCUUAGGUCAGCGGCGGACGGGUGAGUAACACGUGGGUAACCUGCCUGUAAGACUGGGAUAACUCCGGGAAACCGGGGCUAAUACCGGAUGCUUGAUUCAACCGCAUGGUUCAAGCAUAAAAGGUGGCGUUUAGCUACCACUUGCAGAUGGACCCGCGGCGCAUUAGUUAGUUGGUGA
rnacentral:rRNA from 1 species